GGUGAGUGGGCAGAUGCAUGGCAGAUGCAGUUUAACGUGGAUAAAUGUGAGAUUAUCCACUUUGGUAGCGAAAACAGGAAGGCAGAUUACUAUCGUAAUGGCAUCAAAUUGGGACAAGGGGAAGUACAACGGGAUCUGUGGGUCCUUGUACAUCAGUCUAUGAAAGUAAGCAUGCAGGUACAGCAGGCAGUGAAGAAAGCGAAUGGCAUGUUGGCCUUUAUAAC